rnacentral:rRNA from 1 species
GGGGAAUAUUGGACAAUGGGCGCAAGCCUGAUCCAGCCAUACCGCGUGGGUGAAGAAGGCCUUCGGGUUGUAAAGCCCUUUUGUUGGGAAAGAAAAGCAGUCGGUUAAUACCCGAUUGUUCUGACGGUACCCAAAGAAUAAGCACCGGCUAACUACGUGCCAGCAGCCGCGGUAAUACGUAGGGUGCGAGCGUUAAUCGGAAUUACUGGGCGUAAAGCGUGCGCAGGCGGUUGAUUAAGACAGGCGUGAAAUCCCCGGGCUUAACCUGGGAACUGCGCUUGUGACUGGUCGGCUAGAGUACGGCAGAGGGGGGUGGAAUUCCACGUGUAGCAGUGAAAUGCGUAGAGAUGUGGAGGAACACCGAUGGCGAAGGCAGCCCCCUGGGCCGAUACUGACGCUCAUGCACGAAAGCGUGGGUAGCAAACA